rnacentral:rRNA from 1 species
CGGCCGCGUCGACAACUAUUGGAAACGAUAGCUAAUACCGCAUAACAAUGGAUGACACAUGUCAUUUAUUUGAAAGGGGCAAUUGCUCCACUACAAGAUGGACCUGCGUUGUAUUAGCUAGUAGGUGAGGUAACGGCUCACCUAGGCGACGAUACAUAGCCGACCUGAGAGGGUGAUCGGCCACACUGGGACUGAGACACGGCCCAGACUCCUACGGGAGGCAGCAGUAGGGAAUCUUCCGCAAUGGACGAAAGUCUGACGGAGCAACGCCGCGUGAGUGAAGAAGGUUUUCGGAUCGUAAAACUCUGUUGUGAGGGAAGAACAAGUACCAAUUAACUACUGGUACCUUGACGGUACCUCACCAGAAAGCCACGGCUAACUACGUGCCAGCAGCCGCGGUAAUACGUAGGUGGCAAGCGUUGUCCGGGAUUAUUGGGCGUAAAGCGCGCGCAGGCGGUCCUUUAAGUCUGAUGUGAAAGCCCACGGCUCAACCGUGGAGGGUCAUUGGAAACUGGGGGACUUGAGUGCAGAAGAGGAAAGUAGG